rnacentral:rRNA from 1 species
CCCUUAGAUGUUCUGGGCCGCACGCGCGCUACACUGAUGCAUUCAACGAGCCUAUCCUUGACCGACAGGUCCGGGUAAUCUUUGAAUCUGCAUCGUGACGGGGAUAGAUUAUUGCAAUUAUUAAUCUUCAACGAGGAAUGCCUAGUAGGCGCAAGUCAUCAGCUUGCGUCGAUUACGUCCCUGCCCUUUGUACACACCGCCCGUCGCUCCUACCGAUUGGGUGUGCUGGUGAAAUGUUCGGAACGGCCGUUUGUCGCGGUUUCCGCGUCAUGUGGCUGAGAAGUUCAUUAAACCCUCCCACCUAGAGGAAGGAGAAGUCGUAACA